rnacentral:lncRNA from 1 species
GUCAGCUUAUUGGGCAAACUUUCUAUCCUAUUAUUCCCGCACCAAAAGGAUAAGUUAGAGAGACCUAAUAAGAAACUUGCCAGAUGAAAAGGUGAUUCUUAAGGGCAAAAUUUCAAUUAGAUGAAAAACAUUUCACAUUAUUGGAAGGUAAGGAAACAAACACGCCCGAUUUCUAGUCAUCAAUUUACCUUUUAUUAACUAAACAAUAAUAUGUUUACUAAUUUUGUACUAAAAUAAUUGCAAUUGAUAUACUUCAGAAAUCAAAAUUAAAAAAAGAGCAACACAAAAGGAAAGGGCUACCAAAACAAUUCAAGAACCUGACUUUGUUCAGGCGCAAUAAAAGAGCUGCGUCAGGUGUCAAGGAAAAUCCAAUUCAAUAAAACCCAACCCUGCAAAAGUAAAAUUUAAAAAAAAAAAAAAAAAAAGAUCUUCCAGCGGUCAGCGUAGAAAUAUAAAAAAAAUACUUGAAUCACAAAGAAAAUUACAAAAUAAAAUUUCCAAACGUUAUAGAAGUAAAUUAAAAGUGAUACCGAAUGGGAAACAAAUCAAAAAAAGAUACGCACCUGAGUUUUAAGUUGAAACGGCCGACAGAAGGGGAUUAGUACAGAGAAUGUUUAACUGAAGCUUCCCACAAAUGUUAACAAAUGGACUGUAUUAGAAGAAUUGACGACGGUUACCUUAUUGCAAAAUUUAGCUGAAGCUUCAAUGAUGUUAAUCUAUCAUUGCAGUAACAUAGAACCAUGCAAGGAACAUUCUGAAACUGAAAGACGAAGGAUUGGAUAUUUCUAGACCAAUGAUGUGUUUGUCUAUUCUACCCUUAUCUAAAAUAGUCUACGGAGCUAAAUGAGGCAUUGGAAUAAAAGGCAUGUGGCAAAGUUUUACUGAGCUAAAU